rnacentral:lncRNA from 1 species
GCUUGAGAUCUAUGUUCCAUGUUAAAUGUACAUACAAUAUAUAGGCACGAAAUGGAAGGCUAGUGUGGCUCGACAUUGAAUCAGUGUAGAACCUUUAUCAUGUUAAUGGGUUUGCCUCCCUCAAGGCUUAAUAGAGAGGAGAUGCCUGCCUGUUUAGAUGGGUUCAGAUUAUAUCUAUGUUUAAAAAAUGGUUGAUACACCAAUCAUUGGAUC